UGAACGCUGGCGGCGUGCUUAACACAUGCAAGUCGAACGAGAACGGGUUAUAGUUUACUAUAACUGUCAGCUAAGUGGCGCACGGGUGAGUAAUAUAUAGGUAACGUGCCCUAGAGAGGGGGAUAACAUUUGGAAACGAAUGCUAAUACCCCAUAUGCCUUUAAGUCUUAAGACUGCAAGGGAAAUAUUUAUAGCUCUAGGAUCGGCCUGUACGGUAUCAGUUUGUUGGUGAGGUAAUGGCUCACCAAGACUAUGACGCCUAACUGGUUUGAGAGGAUGAUCAGUCACACUGGAACUGAGACACGGUCCAGACUCCUACGGGAGGCAGCAGUGGGGAAUAUUGCACAAUGGACGAAAGUCUGAUGCAGCAACGCCGCGUGGAGGAUGACACAUUUCGGUGCGUAAACUCCUUUUAUAUAGGAAGAUAAUGACGGUACUAUAUGAAUAAGCACCGGCUAACUCC
rnacentral:rRNA from 1 species